rnacentral:rRNA from 1 species
AGAGAGUGCGAGCGUUAAUCGGAAUUACUGGGCGUAAAGCGCGCGUAGGUGGAUAUUUAAGUCGGAUGUGAAAGCCCUAGGCUCAACCUGGGAACUGCAUUCGAUACUGGAUAUCUAGAGUAUGGUAGAGGGAAGUGGAAUUUCCGGUGUAGCGGUGAAAUGCGUAGAUAUCGGAAGGAACACCAGUGGCGAAGGCGACUUCCUGGCCCAAUACUGACACUGAGGCGCGAAAGCGUGGGGGGGAGCAAACAGGAUUAGAUACCCUGGUAGUCCACGCCGUCAACGAUGAGAACUAGCUGUUGGGAAGCUUGACUUCUUAGUAGCGAAGCUAACGCGUUAAGUUCUCCGCCCUGGGGAGUACGGCCGCAAGGCUA